rnacentral:rRNA from 1 species
CCUACGGGACGCAGCAGUGAGGAAUAUUGGUCAAUGGGCGCGAGCCUGAACCAGCCAAGUCGCGUGAAGGAUGACUGCCCUACGGGUUGUAAACUUCUUUUAUAAAGGAAUAAAGUGAGGCACGUGUGCCUUUUUUUAUGUACUUUAUGAAUAAGGAUCGGCUAACUCCGUGCCAGCAGCCGCUGUAAUACGGAGGAUCCGAGCGUUAUCCGGAUUUAUUGGGUUUAAAGGGAGCGUAGAUGGGUUGUUAAGUCAGUGGUGAAAGUUUGCGGCUAAACCGUAAAAUUGCAAUUGAUACUGGCAGCCUUGAGUACAGGUGAGGUAGGCGGAAUUCGUGGUGUAGCGGUGAAAUGCUUAGAUAUCACGAAGAACUCCGAUUGCGAAGGCAGCUUACUAAACUGCCACUGACAUUGAUGCUCGAAAGUGUGGGUAUCAAACAGGAUUAGAUACCCCUGUAGUC